AUGACAAAGCUUUCUAAGUGUGUUAGGAGUGGUAGCGGUGGUUACAACCUCAGUUGUAGUGGUUAUGAACCCAGAGGUUGUGAAAGUGGCCGUGGAGGUAGAAGUGGCAUGGGCGGAAGUGACCGUGGUGGCUUCAAUAAAUUUGGUAGCCUUCAGGACCAAGAGUCACAUCAUGACUCCAUAAAUAAUAAUUCAUACAAUAACAUCAUCUUCAUGCAUGGCCUGGGCGAGAAUGUUACAAAUUGAGUCUGUGGCUGAUUACUUCAAGCAGAUUAGUGUUUUUAAGACAAAUAAGAAAGCAGGACAGCCCAGGAUUAAUAUGCACACAAACAGGGGAAGUGGCAAGUUAAAGAAAGAGUCAACAGUCUCUUUUGAUGACUGACCUGCUAAAGUAGCUAUUGACUGGUUUGAUGGGAAAGAAUUCUUAUUUGCUACCUGCAGGGCUGAUUUCAAUCGGGUUGGUGGCAAUGGUCAUGGAGGCUGAGGACAAGAAGGAUCCACGGGUCAUGGAGGCUAUGGAGACGGUGGUAGUGGCAGCUGGGUAGGAUUUCCCAGUGGUGGUGGUGGCAGUGGAGGACAGCAGUGAGCUGGUGACUGGAAGUGGUCUAAUCCUACAUGUGAGAACAUGAACUUCUCUUGAAGGAAUGAAUGCAACCAGUGUUAGGCUCCUAAACCAGAAGGCCCAGGAGGAGGGUAACUAAGGAGAUAAUCGUUGUGGUGGCAGAGGGGACUAUGAUCAAGGUGACUGCCAGGACCAUGGGGGGUUCUGAGGGGUCCAGGGUGGUGAGAACAGAGGUGGUUUUGACCCUGGCAUCAUGGGCACAGACAGGAUCGCAGGGAGAGGGCUUAUUAG